rnacentral:rRNA from 1 species
GUGAGGAAUAUUGCGCAAUGGAGGCAACUCUGACGCAGCCAUGCCGCGUGCAGGAAGAAGGCGCUACGCGUUGUAAACUGCUUUUAACCGGGAAGAAACCCCAGGACGUGUCCUGGGUUGACGGUACCGGAGGAAUAAGCACCGGCUAACUUCGUGCCAGCAGCCGCGGUAAUACGAAGGGUGCAAGCGUUAUCCGGAUUCAUGGGGUUUAAGGGGUGCGUAGGCGGAGCGUUAAGUCAGUGGUGAAAUCCUGCAGCUUAACUGUAGACUUGCCAUUGAUACUGGCGCUCUUGAGUGCGCUUGAAGUGGGCGGAAUGUGCCGUGUAGCGGUGAAAUGCUUAGAUAUGGCACAGAACACCAAUUGCGAAGGCAGCUCACUAAGGCGAUACUGACGCUGAGGCACGAAAGCGUGGGGAUCGAACAGGAUUAGAAACCCGUGUAGUCC